rnacentral:lncRNA from 1 species
UUUCCAUAUAAAAUGGGUCUUGAAAGGAAGCUCAACAACGGCUCAUGGAGAUGGAAAGAAAAGGCUUUACUAGUUCUACAAGCACCACUGUAAUCGUUGAGGCCCCAGGAGAAAGAGCUGAAGAAGCGCUCAAACAAGGUUCCAUAUUUUCUCUCUUUCUAUGUACCAUAUAUAAUGCGUGUUAUGCUAAGUAUGGAAUUUAUGUUUUUACCCAAAGUCUGCUUAUUGAAAAAGUCUUUUCAUUUUUAUCUUUGCCUUGCCUGCAUAUAAGAUGGGUCUCCAAAUGAAGCUGUAAAACUGCUCAAGGAGAAGCAUGAAAAAGAAUUUGGGGCAUCAGGGAAAAGCACUGAGCAAGAGCUCCCACAAAACAAAAAAAGUGAGGCCGCAAAUACCAAUGGAACCAACGAGAAGCCCGUGAGCAUUCAUAGGAAUCCAGUUUAAAAAGCAACAAAUAGCCACCAUGUUGGGGUUUCCGAGUGCAACAACCGUGCUCAAGGGACAGGCUGCGACAUUGAAGACAAUGAGGUUAAUGCAGAAGAUAGCGAGUUUGUUGGGGUUUUCAAUUUUGGCAACGAGUCCAAAAAGCCAAAUUAAUUUCAACAUUUCUCAUCUGUCCUUUGUGUGCUUAGUGUUGCUCUGCUUUGCUAUGUACAAAAUAAAUUGUGGUUGUGUUACGUGUAUUGUUAUUUGCUUGUUUUGGUUGGUUGGAGUGUCUCUUGCUAUGAGUGACG